rnacentral:rRNA from 1 species
UACGGAGGAUGCGAGCGUUAUCCGGAUUUAUUGGGUUUAAAGGGUGCGUAGGCGGAUUUUUAAGUCAGCGGUAAAAUGUCCGGGCUCAACCCGGGCCGGCCGUUGAAACUGGGGAUCUUGAGUGGGCGAGAAGUAUGCGGAAUGCGUGGUGUAGCGGUGAAAUGCAUAGAUAUCACGCAGAACUCCGAUUGCGAAGGCAGCAUACCGGCGCCCGACUGACGCUGAGGCACAAAAGCGUGGGGAUCGAACAGG